rnacentral:tRNA from 1 species
GCCAACAUAGCUCAGUUGGUAGAGCAGCGCAUUCGUAAUGCACAGGUCGCGGGUUCGAUCCCCACUGUUGGCUCCA